rnacentral:rRNA from 1 species
UACGGGGGGAGCAAGCGUUGUUCGGAAUUACUGGGCGUAAAGGGCUCGUAGGCGGCCAACUAAGUCGGAUGUGAAAUCCCCAGGCUUAACCUGGGAACUGCAUCCGAUACUGGAUGGCUUGAAUCCGGGAGAGGGAUGCAGAAUUCCAGGUGUAGCGGUGAAAUGCGUAGAUAUCUGGAGGAACACCGGUGGCGAAGGCGGCAUCCUGGACCGGCAUUGACGCUGAGGAGCGAAAGCCAGGGGAGCAAACGGG